GUGGGGAAUUUUGCGCAAUGGGGGAAACCCUGACGCAGCAACGCCGCGUGAGUGAUGAAGGCCUUCGGGUCGUAAAGCUCUGUCAGAGGGGAAGAAGUGUGGGGUGGCUAAUAUCCAUUUCACUUGACGGUACCUUCAAAGGAAGCACCGGCUAACUCCGUGCCAGCAGCCGCGGUAAUACGGAGGGUGCGAGCGUUGUUCGGAAUUAUUGGGCGUAAAGCGCGUGUAGGCGGUUUUUUAAGUCUGAUGUGAAAGCCCUGGGCUCAACCCGGGAAGUGCAUUGGAAACUGGGAGACUUGAAUACGGGAGAGGGCAGUGGAAUUCCUGGUGUAGGAGUGAAAUCCGUAGAUAUCAGGAGGAACACCGGUGGCGAAGGCGGCUGCCUGGACCGAUAUUGACGCUGAGACGCGAAAGCGUGGGGAGCAAACAGGAUUAGAAACCCCUGUAGUCC
rnacentral:rRNA from 1 species